GCAUGGAGGUGACGCUGCCGAAGCUCGCUUGUUUGGAAGAAAUGUUGCUGCCACCAACCAAGCUUUUGACGGCGACGGUUGCCACCAAACUUCUACCCCCGGCGGUGCAAAAAUGCAGCCUCAAAGCGGCGCUGCAGUCAAGGCGGGUCACCCGCUCAGCCAAGAUGGAGGAACGUUCUUCAAUUCCGCGGAUCAGUCCGUGGAACUUACAUACAAGUACAUGAGAGUGAAGCCUGCGGUGGUGAUGCUGGACAUGCCGGGCUCAGACGAGGAGGGGG